rnacentral:rRNA from 1 species
AAAGGAAUUGACGGGGGCCCGCACAAGCGGUGGAGCAUGUGGUUUAAUUCGAAGCUACGCGAAGAACCUUACCAGGCCUUGACAUAUAGGUUGUAGAGCCCCGAAAGGGAAUCGACUGUUGGGGAACCAACAGAGCCUAUACAGGUGGUGCAUGGUUGUCGUCAGCUCGUGUCGUGAGAUGUUGGGUUAAGUCCCGCAACGAGCGCAACCCUUAUACUUAGUUGCCAGCACUUAGGGUGGGCACUCUAAGUAGACUGCCGUCGACAAGACGGAGGAAGGUGGGGAUGACGUCAAAUCAUCAUGCCCUUUAUGGUCUGGGCUACACACGUGCUACAAUGGCCUGAACAACGGGAAGCUAAGGAGCAAUCCCAAGCGAAUCCCUUAAAACAGGUCUCAGUUCGGAUUGCAGGCUGCAAUUCGCCUGCAUGAAGCAGGAAUCGCUAGUAAUCGCGGAUCAGCAUGCCGCGGUGAAUACGUUCUCGGGCCUUGUACACACCGCCCGU